GGGUCAGUAGGUUGGUCGUGCCACCGGUACGUACUGGUCUCACUGAUUCCUCCUUCCUGAAGAACCGUAAUGCCAUUAAUUUGGUGUUGCGGGGAAACAGGACUGUUACUUUUAAAAAAUUAUAGUGUUUAAAGCAAGAUAACGCUUGAAUACAUUAGCAUGGAAUAAUGAAAUAGGACGAUCGAUCCUAUUAUGUUGGUUUCUAGGAUUGACGUA
rnacentral:rRNA from 1 species